GUUUGUUUUUAGUUGGCCAUCACAUCGGGACGUAUGAUUGUUAACGGCAGUGCUGAGGUUGAUGAGAGAGAGUUCAGAAACAAGGGAACAAUGGCCAUGAAACUUGAGAUAGACAAGAAGCAGUAUCUAGUGGAUGAACCCUUUUAAGUGGAAAUUGCUGAGAUAGUGCCCAUUCACUCACUGAAAGAAAAUUCAACCUACAGAUGUGUCGUCAAGGUUUGACUCUCCCUCCCAUAGCUGUGCUAUUCAUGAUCUGACAGUGUGCUACAACUUGCAGAAACUGAAAUGAGGUAGAGGUCUUGAAUGUGAAGCCUGUGAUAUCUAGUUCCAAGUAUACAUCUAUAUGUACAUUUAAGUCUUUCCCAACUCAGAGUAGGUAGACAUGGGUUGUCAGAGCCUUACCCGACAACACAUCUUGUGGCUGCAUAAUUCAGAAUGAUACUCAUUUUAAUGUAUGGCUUGUAACUGCUAUGAUGACACCCUUGCUCACCCUUAACCUUUUCCACUCUCUGUCUCCUCUCUUUCUGUUAUCGUUCCAUGCUGGGCGGUCCUUUCAAUAGGACUAGGGAAUGAGGCACAAAAUCCCUGUGAGUCCAGACUGUGUCAAAGUGUCAAUAGUUGGGACACCAUACACUACAGCGUAUCAUUCUGUCCAUAGUUUUAAUUUCUUAAUGAUGUAGGUUUCUGACUUCACAUAUCAUGGUAGCAGCCCUGAUUCACAGUGAGAGUGUUGAACAAUGCCUGCCUUCCAUCUUGGUGUUGGUGGAGCAAUCCUUUAUAUGUAGAAUCCAGAAAGCCAGGAAUUUUUAUAUGAAACCUGUAAGCAAUUUUAAUGGCAGCAGCAUUGAGUUGCAGCGAUUAUUAAGAACUGCCUGCCUUCCAUCUUGGCGUUGGUGGAGCGACCCUGUUUCUGUAGAGUCCAUGUGACAAUGAGUGUAAAUCAUUAUAAUGUUCGUUAUGCGAUAGUGGACUGAACUUUUGAGUGAUACAUAUUUUAAUAUUUGCCCAGUACGUGCUCUUGCACCCUUCCACCCUCUCCCCACGUUUCUAUGUCGUUCUCUCUCCUUUCUUUUCAAUCCAUGCUGGGCGGCUCUUUCGAGAGCCAGGGAAUGAGACACAAAGUCCCUCUGCAGGCCCAGUCUGUGUCGCAGUGCUCGGCACCAAAAAGCAAAUGUUGAAAUGUAUCACUCUGUGUUGUUCAUUAAGUGUGUGCUUUGUAUGGUGACUCAGGCAGGUUGAGUGGCUGUCUUUCAUUGCUGCUCUGUGAAACUUCAAAAGUACAGCCUGCCUUCCGUGUUGGGUUGGUGGAGCUGAUUAUUCUAAAUUUCUUUCUUUUUCUUUUUUUGGUUUGGAUGUACACUUGAAGGUUUUGAUCAGCUUUCUGUUUUUGGUUGAUGGAAGAGAUUGUGAAUGAAAUCCAAUCUGUU